GUCUGCAACCCGACUACAUGAAGCUGGAAUCGCUAGUAAUCGCGGAUCAGAAUGCCGCGGUGAAUACGUUCCCGGGUCUUGUACACACCGCCCGUCACACCAUGGGAGUCGGAAAUGCCCGAAGUCUGUGACCCAACCUACGGGAGGGAGCAGCCGAAGGCAGGUCGGAUGACUGGGGUGAAGUCGUAACAAGGUACC
rnacentral:rRNA from 1 species